AGCCUCGGAACCCCGCCUCGGCCGGGGGGCCGCCCUCUGGCCGGACCCAGGAAGCGUUCCUUAGGCGCCUGCUGAAGUCCUGGGGCCGCCUCGGGGGCGGGGUCCUGCUCCCUGGGUGGAACGCAUUCUGCCCCAUUUCUGAAGCUUGCUGUGUUCCAGGCCCGACUUGGCCCUUUUUGGGGGGGGGGUCGUGGUUCGACAGGACAUCCCGGCCCUCGAGGCCGGUACUGGGAGUCCUGGGUCUGGCCUGCUCCCCCUUUCCCCAUCCCCUCUUCCAGGAGUCCUCGGUGCAGCCCCCCCUCCAGUCCUCAGUCCGGGCUGCGAGGGCCCCCUGCCCCUUGGUAGGGACCCCGGGAGGUGAGAUGGCAGGCAGCUCCGCGGGCGGCUCCCUCCCUUAAGCAGGCUAAGGAAUGACUACUUGGCUUUCGGAAAGGCUGCGGGGCCCUCCAGUGACAGCUCGCCUCGGUCUCCGCCUCCGUGGAGCGGCCCGACUAGGAUGCCUCCCCCCAGGUUUCCUUCUGAUUCUGCCUCUCCAGGAAGCCUGGACUAAGGGGGCAACGCGGGCUGUGAAGUCGGGGAGCGCUCCUGAGAGUGGGUGAGGCCUCCCAGGCCAGCCUAGGAGGUCUGGAAGUGGCCCCUCCACCGCUCCUCCACCUGCUGCCUGUCCGAGAACCGUCUGGCCCCACACCUCGGAGACCUCUCGGCAGGUCUGCCUCAGCCGCAGAAAUCCACCUUGGCUGCCGCCUCUCCUGUUUCAUCUCCAGCCACACAAUGAACACAUCUUCCUGUUGAAGUCGGAGAGGGACCCCACAAGCUUGGGGGUUACAGACCAGUGUUGUGAGGUGUCUCAAAAGAAGUUGCAGGCUUGAACCCAUAUUCAAGUCAAGGGGCAAAGUUUAUUGUAACUGUCACUGCCAAUUGAAGCAGUCUAAAUUCCAAGAGAAGUUAGGCUGGAGCCUGGAGAGACCCAUUUAUCCAGUUCAUGUUGUUGAUAUGCUAAUUUUAGGGCCUAGAGGUAGAACCCAGGAGUGAUCUCAAGAUCUUGGUUAUCUUUGACCAAUAGACAAGAAUGGUGUAGGACUGUUCUAAGGCCAGAAGACUUAAGUCACUGACAGACACUUUGUUAGAACAAUCGUCUUAGCAUCACUAAUAUAUCUUUCCUAAAGUCUAAGGGAAGAAAGGUUAUUAUAUUCCUAGGUCAGAGGACUUUUAUAAUCAUUGACAGAAGAGUAGCAUUCUUAGAUCAGAGUGCCUCAGAAGAUUUAGAAUUACUGACAGAAGCCCCCUAAGGUCAGGGGACCUUAAAAUUACUGCUGUCUCCCCUAGAGGCUGUAUUACAUCAUUUCCCCUCUCAAGCAGUUGCCCCUCAAAUUCAUUUGGGACAAAGGGAUGGAGAGCUCAUCUUCUGGAGUUGCUUCAUGCUGAUAAGGCUUGUAGAGCUGUCCCAGCCUGGUGGAGUCCACACUGAGGAGGGAAGACAUGUAAAGAUGGCGGUGGCAGCAUUCAGAGGGAUGUUGAGUGUCAGAAUCAGUGAGCCGAUGGUAUUCAGGAAUGGGGUUCAUUCCUGGAAUUAUCCUCAGUGUUUCGGGAAUUUUUCUUGCAGUCUUACAAUGACUAAUUGCCAAACUUCUUAAUCAUUGCUCUCAAAACUUUGAGAAUCUGCUAAGAUGUUGUUUCAAUUUGAAUUAGCUAACAUUUUUUGUAUGGCCCCCAGCUUGGCCAAAGCUGAAGUUCACAGAAAAAAGUUAGACUUUUCAAGAAAUCUUCCCAGCAUUCUAACUAUAGCUGGUUGCAUUUUAAAUCUUUUCAAGUAACAAAAUCUUGCUCACAGAACAAACAUGACACAGAUAUGCAGACACAGACAAAAUGACGUGAAAGAGUGAUGCGGGUGAACUCUGCAAAAAUGAUGUCCCCUUUAAUCUGUAAAAUAAUCACUGAAACUGUGUCCCCUUUGAUCUGCAAAAGAAGAAAGAUUCGGGGUCUCCUAGGCUCCAGAGAGACUGGGAGAAGGCACAUUUUCCAGACAGAGAUAAUCAGCAUCUUCAAUUGGAAACCUCGGGCAAAUCACCCCCCCCAUUGAUCUUUUUGGGUCUUUUUGGAUCUUAGGAAACUCUAAAUUCUGGGGAAAAUCUUCAAAGUAAUUUCAUUCUUUUGGAAGAUUCUGGUCUGAUAAUCAGUUCAAACUGUCCCCAGAUUUGCUCAUAAAAUAGGUUUCAAAGUCAACCUGUUCUUUGCAAAUUUCUUCGUUAAGAAAUUUGCCCACUAAGAGAGAGCUUCUUACUGAAAAAAAUAAAGCUUCCCUUUUGCCACA